rnacentral:lncRNA from 1 species
AAAAAGAAAAUAAAUCAAUUUCGUAUGACCAAUUUUUCAGAUACAAAGUUUGCCUUAAAAGCUUGCAUGCUGAAUCUACAGCACAUCCUUUGAGGAGUCUACCCACUGCUUCAUACUUAGAUAAUAAGUGAAUGAGAUGUGUAACCUACUGAAACUGUUUCGUCUUUAUAAUCCAUGUAUGAUUUGACACGAUCUUCCAAAUAACACUUUGACCAUCCAUUUAUCUUAUAUUAUAUUGUUGAAUGGUUAUUACUUAUAACUAUUGUAUAGUAUAUUUGAUUACGAAUCCAACCAUAUAAAGUUUACAUUAUAAAAAUAAAAAAUUAAUAGUCAAAUUAUUGGUCAAAUACAAAAUUUGAAUCUUGAUAUGUGUGUACG